NNNNNNNNNNNNNNNNNNNNNNNNNNNNNNNNNNNNNNNNGCUCCCGCGCCCCGCGCGCUGCGCAAGGCGAGCCAGCUGCGGACGGCUUUCAUUCUGCGAGGGGGCGGGCGAAGCGCCGCCUCGGGCCCCGGCGCUAAUUGGCUGCUGACCAGAGCCCCCUGCGCCACCGGCGCCGCUCGGGACGCCGAUUGGUGAAUCUGGGGGAGGGGGCGUGCCCUGCCUGCGCUGCUGGGAGGGGAGGGCGAAGUAGGGGGAGACAAGGGGAAGGGAGGGGAGGGGCUGCUGCUGGGGCCCGCCUUCUCCUGAGCGCUGUGCUUUGAGUUUGGAGCAGGUGACCAGGCCUGAGUCUCCCCGGCCGGGUGGCGAGACUCCCCGAGGACACCGAUGAAGAAAAUGAGACCCAGAGAAGAGAAGGAUUUCUUCAGGGUCACAUGGUGAAUAUGUCACAGCCAGAACUAGAACUCAGGGCCCUUCACAAACGGCUUGCUGGCCUUCCUGUUACACAUGGACCCCGAAGGCAUUCCGGUCUGGUCUUCUUCCAGAAGAAGGAUCCUCGUAUCUUGAAUGUUCUUUCUCCAUCUACCCCACCAUGUCCCACCACCAUAUAUCCGAAUGGUGUGCGAUCAUCAAGGUCCACCUUUGUCACCGCUGCGAUUCCCGUGGAUCCUGCCUUCCUCGGGACUUCUCUAGAGCAGAAGUCCAGAGGCAGGCGUUCCAGGGCUGGUGUGCUGUCCCAGAGUAAUCAGAGACCCAGACUCCUUCUGCCUUCUUGCUCCACGAUUGUUAGUAGCUUUCAUCCCUAAGUUUGCCUCUGCUUCAAAAGGAUUGUUGGAGCUCCAGCCAUCACACCUGCAUUCCAGGCAAGGAAAAGAGGAAGAGAGAAGAGCAAAAACGUGCAUCCCAGCUUUCUAUUCUCCAAGAUAUUGUACCCAGUAACCUCUGCUCACAUUUCAUUGACCAGAAUUUCACUACUUGGGUGCAGGGGACUCUGGGAAAUGUGGUUUUUCGAGCUGGGUGCAUGGCCACCUGGACUUAAACAAGAGUUCUGUUUCUAAGGAAGAACAGGAGAAUGAAGUUUGGUGGGCACCUAGCAAUUUCUGCCUCACUUAGCGCAGCAGUCAAGGCCUUGAAUGAAUUUUCACACCAGCGAGCUCAUUCUGUUCCUUCUUCCUGCUCAGCAGGCAUGUCUUGCAGAUGGGUCAGCAGGGCAAGUCCAUUAUUUGGCCGUUAGGUUUGGCUGCCCUGACUGACAUGCACCUCCUGAACAAGCCCGAGCUUUCUGCCUUCCGGUGCAGCACUUCUGCUGCUUCCAAGGUAGCAUCUGGAAACCCACGUAAAGGGCAGAGCCGCUAAUGACUCUCACUCUGUUCCCCAGCGAGCAGAACAGUCUCCAUCCCACUGCCCUGGAACUGCCCACUGAGAAGACCCUGAGUUUGCACACGCUUGCCCGUGCAUACACACACCCCUCAAAGAAAGAAACCUCUUCUAGUGUUAGUACCUUCUCACCUGGAGCAGGAUACACAGGUAAGCGGCUUCCCAUCACAGGGGCCGAUCUCCGUAGGACCUGAGCCCAGAGGAGGGGUGCAGGUGGCCUGCUGUCCAAUCCCGGCAGGCCCCCACAGGCCCCUGCGUCACCCUGCCAGCUGCACAACCUCACAAAUCAAAUAUCACGUCUAAUUCUUAAAGCUGUUUUCAUGACAGCGGUUUUCCAUUUAAUCCCCAGAGCUAACAAUAUGUAAUCAGUUUUCCUUAACAAAUGACCUCCUUUAACUUCAUUAGUUCAUAAUUAAUUUGCCAGCCUGUAACCAAGAUAAUGAACACUGCAGAUUAGGGACAGGAAUACUGAUUAAAAUCUGAGCUGUUUCCCUAAUUUUCCUCGCAAUUUAAUUCAUUGGUGGUGGCUGGUGAUUGGUGGGUUUGGUUGAAAAAAUCCACGUGGA
ensembl:lincRNA